UACAGCCAUAUCACGUUGUAACACCGGUUCUCGUACGAUCAACGAAGUUAAGCAAGGUCAUGCCUGGUCACUACCUAGCCGGGUGACCGCUUGAGAUUAUCAGGUCCUGUA